UAUGAAUACAUGCCCAACAAAAGCUUGGACUCUUUCAUAUUUGAUCGAAAGCUGCGUGUGACUUUGGACUGGGGGAUGCGUUAUAGCAUAAUUUUGGGAAUUGCUCGUGGGCUUCUAUAUCUUCACCAGGAUUCCAGGCUGAGGAUCAUCCAUAGAGACUUGAAAACAAGUAACAUUUUGCUAGAUGAGGAGAUGAACCCCAAAAUUUCUGACUUCGGCUUGGCAAGGAUUUUCGGAGGCAAAGAAACAGCUGCAAAUACCACCAGAGUAGUUGGAACCUAUGGAUAUAUAGCUCCUGAGUAUGCACUGGAUGGUCUAUUUUC
rnacentral:misc_RNA from 1 species